UACAGAGGGUGCGAGCGUUGUUCGGAAUUACUGGGCGUAAAGCGCGCGCAGGCGGCUCUUUAAGUCUACCCGUGAAAUGCCGGGGCUCAACCCCGAGCACGCCGGGGGAUACUGGAGAGCUGGAGACAGGUAGAGGCAAGCGGAAUUCCGGGUGUAGCGGUGGAAUGCGUAGAGAUCCGGAAGAACACCGGAGGCGAAGGCGGCUUGCUGGGCCUUGUCUGACGCUGAGGCGCGAAAGCGUGGGGAGCGAACAGG
rnacentral:rRNA from 1 species